ACCGAGGGGGGCAGUUAAACCGUUACCAUUACUGAGUUUUAGUAAUGGUAAGGGUUCUACGGCCUUCACUCAA
rnacentral:pre_miRNA from 1 species